rnacentral:rRNA from 1 species
AUUGAACGCUGGCGGCAGGCUUAACACAUGCAAGUCGAGCGAGCGGCGGACGGGUGAGUAAUGUCUGGGAAACUGCCUGAUGGAGGGGGAUGACUACUGGAAACGGUAGCUAAUACCGCAUACCAUCAGAUGUGCCCAGAUGGGAUUAGCUAGUAGGUGGGGUAAUGGCUCACCUAGGCGACGAUCCCUAGCUGGUCUGAGAGGAUGACCAGCCACACUGAAACAGAGACACAGUCCAGACUCCUACGGAGGGCAGCAGUGGAGAAUGUUGCACAAUAGGCGCAAGCCUGAUGCAGCCAGGCCGCGUGUGUGAGGAAAGCCUUCGGGUUGUAAAGCAAUUUCAGCGAGGAGGCGUUACGCGCAGAAGAAGCGCCGGCUAACUCCGUGCCAGCAGCCGCGGUAAUUC